UUACCUUUUUUCUUCUCUUUUUAGUUGCAAAAGUAGAAACUUUUAUGGUCUCAUCAAUCUCGAGGUUGUGUUCUUGCACUAUUUAUGUCACCUUGAAGGCACAAAAAUGAUUAGGAUCCUUGUCAGCUCAUGUUCAUCCAAAAUUUUGAAGACCAAAUGUUGUCCUAUGAUAUUGUGGAACCUAUCUUGGAUAAUCAAAACCUAUAAAGGUUAUCUGAAAUUUAAAAUGUUCUGCAGCCAUAUUAAAGGGAGGAGGAUAAGAAAGGAAAAGGACAAAAACUUUUCUCUAAGACAUGGGCUUAACUUUCUCCUACAGGCAUAUUUGAUAAUUACUUGAACUGAAGAAACCCAAACAUAUAUUGAUCCUACCUUUUGUACUAAACUUAUGAACAAAGGAACAAUGUUGUCAAAGGAACUCUAGGUGCUUGCCUUGGUGCUUGGGCUUGGCAAGGCAACACCUAAGCACCUCAACAAUCCUCAAGAGAAGCGAAUUUGCUAAGGAGAUGCCUAGGCGAGCGCUUAGGACAAAACAAGGGGUGAUCGGCGAGCACCUCUUCGAUGUCCAACAAUAUUCUUCCUGUCCUCUUUAAUCAUUAUUUAAAGCUCUCUUAGCUUUAUUUUGACAUUCAUUUUGGUCUAUUGGAG
rnacentral:lncRNA from 1 species